rnacentral:rRNA from 1 species
AGCGAACGCUGGCGGCAGGCCUAACACAUGCAAGUCGAACGAACCCUUCGGGGUUAGUGGCGGACGGGUGAGUAACACGUGGGCACGUGCCUUUAGGUUCGGAAUAACUCAGGGAAACUUGUGCUAAUACCGAAUGUGCCCUUCGGGGGAAAGAUUUAUCGCCUUUAGAGCGGCCCGCGUCUGAUUAGCUAGUUGGUGAGGUAAAGGCUCACCAAGGCUACGAUCAGUAGCUGGUCUGAGAGGAUGACCAGCCACAUUGGGACUGAGACACGGCCCAAACUCCUACGGGAGGCAGCAGUGGGGAAUCUUGCGCAAUGGCGAAAGCCUGACGCAGCCAUGCCGCGUGGAUGAUGAAGGUCUUAGGAUUGUAAAAUCCUUUCACCGGUGAAGAUAAUGACUGUAGCCGGAGAAGAAGCCCCGGCUAACUUCGUGCCAGCCGCCGCCGUAAUAC